GUGGGUUACAUCACCAUCAAAACACACGACCAAACACGAAAGAAAAACAAACAAACUCGUCAUUUUCAGUAAUGGAAGAAGCCUCGAGGCAAUCAUGGUGUCCACAAGGGCAAUCAAACAGAGCACUCGUAAUUCCCUCUUGAAAAACUGCAUGGUGUUCACAUAUGGAGAGUUUAUAUAGUUAUGGCCCUUGGGAUUGGCUUUGGUUCAAUGUUUCUACAAACACCUUGUCUUUCUGGUUCAGAUGGUGUUUUUUCUUAAAGGGUGUAGCCUGUAGGGAAUAGGAAUUAUUACUUCAGUCAUUUUGGGGUGGAAAAUGAUGGCUAAGGAGAUGCUGCAGUAGGGCACACCCUUUUGUUUUCCUCAUAUCAAGUCACUCACGGUUGAAUCCUUCUGCUAAUAUUUUUUUACAGCUUGUUGUCAGCAGCCACCCACCCACUUUGCCUUGUCCAAACCAUUGCUGAGAUAUCUCACAGCAGAACAUGUGCUUCUGUCAGGAUUUGACAUUGGUUGCCCUUGUAAUCGGAAAGGCUCAUAAUUCAUUGAAUCUCCAAACAAAAUCUUCUUGAUCUUAUUUGCUACGUUCAAUUACAUUAGUUGUUCUCGGCUUUCCAAAAGACAUGAAUGUUUACAUUUCUCUUGUUGGAUUUUUCCACAUAGAUGAAAGAUUUCUGAAAGUGGCUGGCACUUGUACCUUAUGAAAAAGGAGUAUUGAAUGCAUAUAAACACCUACUGCUUGAUAACGAGCAUGCAUGUAUUAGGAAAGUGAUCAUUCCAUUUCCAUUUCAAGUUUUUCAUCACAGGUAAUACGAACUGCUAUCUGUUGCUAAGCUAUUAGAAAGACAUUGGGCAUUGUCUGAGAAUCUUUGUAGAAGAGAAGAUGCAGAGCAUUUAUCUGAUAUCUACUCAGAAUGAAUUGGCAGAUUAACAGUCCUUUCUUUAAUUUAUUUGUAUUAUUUGAUUUAUAUCCAUCUUUAAAAAUUGCAGGAUUCUGUAUUUCUUUAAUGUACGAACAUGGAAGGAAAGGAAGCAAUGUCCUGCUAAUUAAUGCAGGCCGCAAGAGGUAGACAGGAGUUGAGGCCUGUGUCCUCUACUGAUGACAAACAACAGCGAUUGAUAUCUACUGUAUGAAAAUUUGUUUCCAAGUUGGGUCACUGCUGGAUCAAAGAUUUGCAGUUAAUGUAUCCAGCCACAUCUUUUGUCCCCAUUUGUGUUUUGCCUAGCAA